AAUCGCGAGCACAGUACGUCAGGAAAGCACAUCCUGAAGAUACACAUGCAGAGAGACAGUGUCGGGGACCUGGAGGUGAGGGACAUGGGAGAGCAUUUGAUCUGUUCAGAGAUGGGACUGGAGCAGGAAGAGCUGUAAUCUCCAAACAGGCUGGAUCUCGCUAUGCAGCCCUGGCUGUCCUGGAACCUGUUACAUAGACCAUGCUGGCUUCAAGCUCACAAAGACCCUCUUUGCUUCUGCUUCAGGAGUGCUAGGACUAAAGAGAGAUGUUUCUGAGAAGACCAGAGAACAUUCUUGAAUUUGCUGCAUACUAUUUCACAGAUCCAAGACUUCCCAACAAAAUUCACAUGCAGCUAAUUAAAGAGAAGAAGGGAGCCUAAUUAGCAAGCCACAAUGCUCAGCUGCUGGGAGAAGGCAGAAGGAGUCCAGCCUUGGGGUCGUCUGGAGGCCCGAGAGCAGUGUUGCCCUUCUUAUGGGUUUCCGAGCUAUGUGGACCUUCUCCUGUCGUAGGGGCCUUUAGGAUCCUCAUUAAAUCCAGACCUGCCGGC
rnacentral:lncRNA from 1 species